rnacentral:rRNA from 1 species
AGAGUUUGAUUAUGGCUCAGGAUGAACGCUGACAGAAUGCUUAACACAUGCAAGUCUACUUGAUCCUUCGGGUGAAGGUGGCGGACGGGUGAGUAACGCGUAAAGAACUGCCUUACAGACUGGGACAACAUUUGGAAACGAAUGCUAAUACCGGAUAUUAUGAUUGGGUCGCAUGAUCUGGUUAUGAAAGCUAUAUGCGCUGUGAGAGAGCUUUGCGUCCCAUUAGUUAGUUGGUGAGGUAACGGCUCACCAAGACGAUGAUGGGUAGCCGGCCUGAGAGGGUGAACGGCCACAAGGGGACUGAGACACGGCCCUUACUCCUACGGGAGGCAGCAGUGGGGAAUAUUGGACAAUGGACCAAAAGUCUGAUCCAGCAAAUUCUGUGUGCACGAUGAAGUUUUUCGGAAUGUAAAGUGCUUUCAGUUGGGAAGAAGUCAGUGACGGUACCAACAGAAGAAGCGACGGCUAAAUACGUGCCAGCCGCUGC